rnacentral:rRNA from 1 species
UGGGGAAUCUUGCACAAUGGGCGAAAGCCUGAUGCAGCGACGCCGCGUGCGGGAUGACGGCCUUCGGGUUGUAAACCGCUUUCAGCAGGGACGAAAAUGACGGUACCUGCAGAAGAAGCCCCGGCCAACUACGUGCCAGCAGCCGCGGUAAUACGUAGGGGGCGAGCGUUGUCCGGAUUUAUUGGGCGUAAAGAGCUCGUAGGCGGUUUGGUAAGUCGGAUGUGAAAUCUCCACGCUCAACGUGGAGGGGCCAUUCGGUACUGCCAUGACUAGAGUCCGGUAGAGGAAUGUGGAAUUCCCGGUGUAGCGGUGAAAUGCGCAGAGAUCGGGAGGAACACCCGUAGCGAAGGCGGCAUUCUGGGCCGGUACUGACGCUGAGGAGCGAAAGCGUGGGGAGCGAACAGGAUUAGAUACCCUGGUAGUCCACGCCGUAAACGUUGGGCACUAGGUGUGGGGCGCUAUCGACGCGUUCCGUGCCGUAGCUAACGCAUUAGGUGCCCCGCCUGGGGAGUACGGCCGCAAGGCUA